GACGAACGCUGGCGGCGUGCUUAGCACAUGCAAGUCGAACGGUAAGGCCCUUCGGGGUACACGAGUGGCGAACGGGUGAGUAACACGUGGGUGCUCUGCCCUGCACUUCGGGAUAAGCCUGGGAAACUGGGGCUAAUACCGGAUAGGACUCCGGACUGCAUGGUCUGGGGUGGAAAGCUUUUGCGGUGUGGGAUGGGCCCGCGGCCUAUCAGCUUGUUGGUGGGGUGAUGGCCUACCAAGGCGACGACGGGUAGCCGGCCUGAGCGGGUGACCGGCGACACUGGGCCGGAGAGACGGCACAGACUCCUAGGGGAGGCAGCAGUGGGGAGUAUUGGACGGGGAGCGCAAGCCAGAUGCAGCGACGCCGCGUGAGGGAUGACGGCCUUCGGGUUGUAAACCUCUUUCAGCACAGACGAAGCGCAAGUGACGGUAUGUGCAGAAGAAGGACCGGCCAACUACGUGCCAGCCGCCGCAGUAA
rnacentral:rRNA from 1 species